GUGGGAUCCCGGCCUUCGCGGCCCGGGCGCACCACCGGCCCGUCUCGCCCGCCCCGUCGGGGAGGUGGAGCAGGAGCGCGUGCGAUAGGACCCGANAGAUGGNGAACUAUGCCUGGGCAGGGC
rnacentral:rRNA from 1 species